CAAAAAUCACUACUGUGUGUCUACAUGUGCCAAACACAACGACAGACCAGCAAACACAAAAAUGAAUAGCAGCUGGGCUUAAUCUGGCGGACUGCAUGGGAAGGAAUGAUUGGAAGGACGCUCGGAGAUCUGGCUGAUGAAUAUCUGUACUCUGAGAACAGCAAUAAAAGAGGAGACUUGGCCUUUUUGAUAGAAAUGUCAGGAGCAUACAUAGAAGUUACCUCUCCAAGUAUCACACUCCACAGCAGGCCAGAAGCACACAAGGUUUCCAGGUAAAUUAUGUCCUAC